rnacentral:misc_RNA from 1 species
AUGACGUCAUCUUCAACGACAACAUGGCGGAGGCUGCCAUUGAAAGGCAAUCCGAGACGAGCAAGUUUUACUGCCAUAGCUGCUCAGAAGAAAUAAACCCAAAACCAGAUUUUACGUGUCCCAAAUGUGAAAAUGGAUUUAUAGAAGAACUAACUGAAGAUUUAGCUGAGACCCCCAGUCCCCAACCAGCUCAACAGCUUGAUCCUGCUGCACAGUUUACAGAACUAUGGGGAAGAGCCUUUUUAGAAAGUUUUGAAAAUCACUCUGGAUCUGGUUCCUCAAACGCCACACAGAAUGGAGUGGAGUCCGAGUCGGAAGAGGAAGAAGGGCGACCGAGGACGCGUGGCCAUGGCCUGAGACCACUGACCCGGAUAUCUGUCAGAACAGGGGCGGGGAGGAACCGACCAAUGAGUCAACCACAAUAUUUACAUGGGCUUUUGCAGUUAUUUGUUGAUAGAUUAACUGGGGAAAUGGGACAACCCAUGAACUUUAUGACACUUCAUGGGAACCCUGCUGAUUAUGCUUGGGGUGUAGGAGGUCUCGACAACAUUAUAACACAGUUGCUAAAUCAAUUAGAGGGAUCUGGGCCAGCACCAGCUGAAAAGAGUAAAAUAGAUUCAUUACCAAAUGUUAAAGUAACCCAGCCUCAAGUUGAUAACAUUUUACAAUGUUCAAUAUGUAUGGAAGAUUUUGAGUUACAUGAAAACGUGAAAAAAUUACCAUGUGAACACCAUUAUCACAAGGUGUGCAUUGUCACCUGGCUAGAAAUGGUGAGUAUAAUGAUGGCAUCUCUAGGCUCAAUGGAAAAGAAAUCAUGAUGUUAAGCAUGGAACCUGUCCUGUGUGUCGAAUUGACCUAAAUGGUGUUGAUAAUUCUCUAAAAAAUGACGACAAUUUACUCUCAGAGUUGGAGAACAUUCAGAAUGACCAGCCCGAACCACCAGAGUGAUGGCAAAUUGUGUUAAACAUUUUACUUCAAAUAAACUGUGAUUAUUAUUUGUCAUGUAACAAUUAACAGAAAGUACUGAUAAUUGACUGUAAGGGCAGAGUGGGUGUGAUGGGCGACAGUGAGGGGCCACCAGUCUCGGGGGGCACCAGCUACCACGGACUGGGGAUGGAUUGGGAGGUAGAUAGAUUGGAAGAGAAUGCAAGGCGGAGUGUCUUCAGUAUGGUUGAUUGUGACGGGUGCAGGAAUGAGAUAUGAUUGUUGAGUGGCUGAUGACAUGUCUUCACUAGUUAACAUUAUACAAGGUUGACUUUGUUGUCUGUAUGAUCUAAAUGAAUUUAUUAUUCCGAAGGAUUGCUGAGGUACCGGUAAAGUAGUAGAUUUGCUAAAAUAAUUUUAAUGCAUUUUUUAAACUGUGUGCUUAGGGAAGAGACCAGGUACAUUUACUAACCUCAUCCCUUUUGUAGCAAGGUUUAUUUUAAGGGUGUUUUAAUACUAUGGUGUACUAGUUUCAAUUGUGGAAGAUACAGACAUUAUCACAUACCGGUAUCUAAUACCGAUAAUAUAGCCACCAAUAUACAUGUAUCACAGGAAAGAGUUGUGUAGGUUUGCAAGAUCUUUUCUAAGAUUUGGUAAGAAAACUAUGUCCUUGACUUUCAGCUGGAGCUUUGUCAAGGUAACAGUAGUUAUAAAAAUACACUACCCUUACUUAUUUAUCUUUGUGAGUUGGACUUAACAGUAUUUUUGUGCUAUUCGAACAUGAAUGUUGCAAGUAGAAUGAGAGAGACUAACAUAUUUAGAUACAUGUGUCUGUAAUAUGUUCAGCUCAUUGGCCAUAAUUGUAACAAUAGCCUCUUUUAUAAGUGAGUUCUAUUCCUUUAUUCUGUGAUUCAUGUAAAAUUGCUUAGUUUAAAUACCGUUUAUAUAAAGCAUGGUUUUAUUAGUCAUAAAAUCCUCAAGAUGGUAAGUUUAAGUGGAAUCUUCUUCCAGAGCAAUUGAUAGUCUGUUUCAUGCCAUGUUUAGUGUUGUUUUGUAAUAUCAAAACUGAUGAUUUAGUUGCUUAUGAAGUGUAAUUUGCCAGGGCUCCUCCAUAGAAAACACCUGGGUUUUUUUUUUCAGCGUGAUGCUGAACAAGAAUUGAAGAUGGUGAUUCUCUUUGUAUGAUUUCAUUUUGAUAUAAUUAUUCCUACAGUGUGUUGCAUACUGCAAGUUAGCUUAUAUUGAUAUAUCUGGCAUGAGAAAUUUUAUUUCAAGUUAAAAAUAUCCUGAAAGUAUUAUUUAAUGAAAUAACCAGUGGCCCUGUUUGCAAUCUGGGCUUUUACAAUUUGUUUAAUUAAUUUGUACUUUUCUUCAAUUUCAUGUCCGGAUAUUUUCUCCUGGAAUAGAGUGUUUCACAUGCAAUGUUUAUAAUUCAUAAAUGACAGCCAUGUUAAAUGUACACAAAUGUACCAAAAGGAUAUUCAUUGAAUGAAUAAACUCUUGAAAAUGC